rnacentral:misc_RNA from 1 species
CAAAGCUGACCCUCUGACUUCACAG